rnacentral:rRNA from 1 species
GAUGAACGCUGGCGGCGUGCCUAAUACAUGCAAGUCGAGCGAACGGACGAGAAGCUUGCUUCUCUGAUGUUAGCGGCGGACGGGUGAGUAACACGUGGAUAACCUCCCUAUAAGACUGGGAUAACUUCGGGAAACCGUAGCUAAUACCGGAUAAUAUUUUGAACCGCAUGGUUCAAAAGUGAAAGACGGUCUUGCUGUCACUUAUAGAUGGAUCCGCGCUGCAUUAGCUAGUUGGUAAGGUAACGGCCUACCAAGGCAACGAUGCAUAGCCGACCUGAGAGGGUGAUCGGCCACACUGGAACUGAGACACGGUCCAGACUCCUACGGGAGGCAGCAGUAGGGAAUCUUGCGCAAUGGGCGAAAGCCUGACGGAGCAACGCCGCGUGAGUGAUGAAGGUCUUCGGAUCGUAAAACUCUGUUAUUAGGGAAGAACAUAUGUGUAAGUAACUGUGCACAUCUUGACGGUACCUAAUCAGAAAGCCACGGCUAACUACGUG